UACGGAGGGUGCAAGCGUUGUCCGGAUUUAUUGGGUUUAAAGGGUGCGUAGGCGGUUCUUUAAGUCCGGGGUGAAAGCCCACUGCUCAACAGUGGAACUGCCCUGGAAACUGGAGAACUUGAGUACAGACGAGGGCGGCGGAAUGGAUGGUGUAGCGGUGAAAUGCAUAGAUACCAUCCAGAACCCCGAUUGCGAAGGCAGCUGACUAGGCUGUUACUGACGCUGAGGCACGAAAGCGUGGGGAGCGAACAGG
rnacentral:rRNA from 1 species